UAGAGAGGUGCUCGGGUGAGUUGCAAUGGGCGAAGAAGAAAAGGGAUGAGGGGGAAAGGGAGGGCGGCGAGCUGUGGAUGAGGAGGCGGUGGUGAGUGGUGGAGGGGUGCGGCAGCGGUGCAAAAGAUGGGGAGAGGUACACGGCGGGGCAGUCGGACCGUGAGGAGUGGGCGGCGGAAGGAAGGCGGCGUGCGGCCUGUGGAGUCGGCCGGUGGUGAGGAAAAUGGGAGGGGAUGUAUGAGGAGGCCGUCGGCGUCAGCUCGAGCCCCGACAGGAUGGUGGCGUCGGCUCGGGCCCCGGCGGGAUGGUGGCGUCGGCUCGGGCACCGGCGGCUCGGGCGGUGGACGACGGAGGAGGAGGGGCUCGGAGACGACGGCGCUCGGCGACGGGGAAGCACCGUGAGGGAGCGGCGACACCUCAGCGGUUCGGCGAAGACGGCGGCGAAGGAGCCACGACAGCGGCAGCGGCGGCGGGGCGACGACAACAGCA
rnacentral:lncRNA from 1 species